rnacentral:rRNA from 1 species
CAGUAGCCACGGUAAUACGGAGGGAGCCAGCGUUAUUCGGAAUUACUGGGCGUAAAGCGCACGUAGGCGGCUUUGUAAGUUAGAGGUGAAAGCCUGGAGCUCAACUCCAGAAUUGCCUUUAAGACUGCAUCGCUUGAAUCCAGGAGAGGUGAGUGGAAUUCCGAGUGUAGAGGUGAAAUUCGUAGAUAUUCGGAAGAACACCAGUGGCGAAGGCGGCUCACUGGACUGGUAUUGACGCUGAGGUGCGAAAGCGUGGGGAGCAAACAGGAUUAGAUACCCGAGUAGUCCCUGUCUCUUAUAA